UACGUAGGUGGCAAGCGUUGUCCGGAUUUACUGGGCGUAAAGCGUGCGCAGGCGGUUUUGUAAGCCAGGUGUGAAAUCCCCGGGCUCAACCUGGGAAUGGCAUUUGGGACUGCAAGGCUGGAGUGCGGCAGAGGAGACUGGAAUUCCUGGUGUAGCAGUGAAAUGCGUAGAUAUCAGGAGGAACACCGAUGGCGAAGGCAGGUCUCUGGGCUGACACUGACGCUCAUGCACGAAAGCGUGGGGAGCAAACAGG
rnacentral:rRNA from 1 species